rnacentral:rRNA from 1 species
AGAUUGAACGCUGGCGGCAGGCCUAACACAUGCAAGUCGAGCGGUAGAGAGGUGCUUGCAUCUCUUGAGAGCGGCGGACGGGUGAGUAAUGCCUAGGAAUCUGCCUAGUGGUGGGGGAUAACGUUCGGAAACGGACGCUAAUACCGCAUACGUCCUACGGGAGAAAGCGGGGGACCUUCGGGCCUCGCGCCAUUAGAUGAGCCUAGGUCGGAUUAGCUAGUUGGUGAGGUAAUGGCUCACCAAGGCGACGAUCCGUAACUGGUCUGAGAGGACGAUCAGUCACACUGGAACUGAGACACGGUCCAGACUCCUACGGGGAGCAGCAGGUGGGGAAUAGUUGGACAAGUGGGACGAAAGCC